rnacentral:rRNA from 1 species
UACGGGGGGUGCGAGCGUUGUCCGGAAUCACUGGGCGUAAAGGGCGCGUAGGCGGCCACCGCAAGUCGACUGUGAAAUCUCCGGGCUUAACCCGGAAAGGUCAGCCGAUACUGCGGGGCUAGAGUGCAGAAGGGGCAACUGGAAUUCUCGGUGUAGCGGUGAAAUGCGUAGAGAUGUGGAGGAACACCAAUGGCGAAGGCAGCCUUCUGGGCCAACACUGACGCUCAUGCACGAAAGCGUGGGGAGCAAACAGG